rnacentral:rRNA from 1 species
UACGUAGGGUGCGAGCGUUAAUCGGAAUUACUGGGCGCAAAGCGUGCGCAGGCGGUUUUGUAAGACAGAUGUGAAAUCCCCGGGCUUAACCUGGGAACUGCAUUUGUGACUGCAAGGCUAGUGUACGGCAGAGGGGGGUAGAAUUCCACGUGUAGCAGUGAAAUGCGUAGAUAUGUGGAGGAACACCGAUGGCGAAGGCAGCCCCCUGGGUCAACACUGACGCUCAUGCACGAAAGCGUGGGGAGCAAACAGG